rnacentral:tRNA from 1 species
GCCUGGGUGGCUCCGUCAGUGAAGCGUCUGACUUCAGCUCAGGUCAUGAUCUCACAGUCCAUGGGUUCGAGCCCCACCUCGGGCU